UACGUAGGGUGCGAGCGUUGUCCGGAAUUAUUGGGCGUAAAGAGCUCGUAGGCGGCUCAUUGCGUCAACCGUGAAAACCUGCCGCUCAACGGUAGGCUUGCGGUUGAUACGGGUGGGCUGGAGUUCGGUAGGGGAGACUGGAAUUCCUGGUGUAGCGGUGAAAUGCGCAGAUAUCAGGAGGAACACCGGUGGCGAAGGCGGGUCUCUGGGCCGAUACUGACGCUGAGGAGCGAAAGCGUGGGGAGCGAACAGG
rnacentral:rRNA from 1 species